AUGUCCAGUUCUGGCCCAAGUAACUCCAGCAAGUCACUGGGUGGGAGAGGUCUGUCUCCAGGGAAGACAGCUUGCCAUUCCACUGCACCCCCACCAGCACGCCGCAGUGAGUCGGCUAGCCAGUGCUCGUAGACAGCAUCCUGAGGAUACCCAGCAUUUUGAGUUCCAGCCCAUGUAAUAAUGCCCAGCUCCAGACAGAUGGAUUAGUUUGAACUAUGUGACACUGCCUAUAUAAAAUUGUUUCUGACCUACAAAAAUGAGACUUU
rnacentral:lncRNA from 12 species